rnacentral:lncRNA from 1 species
CAGGUCCUGGGGCUUGCCAGUGAGGCUGGCUGGAGGAGAGGAUGUGAGCAGAGCUGGAUUUCCUCUCCACAGCUCCUCAACUGCCACGGAGGCUCACAAUCCUCCCUGGGCAGUGCCAGCUCUCAUGGGGAUGAAGGUGGGCCAAGGCUGCCCCGGCUGCCAACAUGCCAUGGGGCCUCCCCUUGCUCCCAUCCCAAGGCAAUUAACAGGGACACGAGGUGUAGAGAGCACUGCAGAGGAGGAGAAGGUCUGGAUUUCACCAUCCCCAAGCUUUGGGAGGACUUGCAAAAGCCAGCGAGAUCCUGGGCACCCCACAGGGCUCAGCUUUCUCAUAGGGAAGAGGUGAAACUUGGGGGGCUGAGGGUGGAGGGCAGUGGGGUUUGCUCCAGUGAUGGGUCUCCCACCCUCAUCUGCAGCGACAGGUGGAGUUUUGGGGUUAUUUGGGGUAUGAAAGGGGCUUAUCUUCAAUUCAUUAUAUGGCGAGCAGGGUAGUUUGUAAGAGGGGAAAAGCAAGAAAAAUUAACACAUGCUUCCAAACACCUGGAGACGUGACGACUACCAGCCACCCCUGCUUUGGGAGGACUUGCAAAAGCCAGCGAGACCCUGGACACCCCACAGGGAAGAGGUGCAGCUGGGGGGGCUGGGGGUGGAAGGCAGCGGGGUUUGCUCCAGUGAUGGGUCUCCCACCCUCAUCUGCAGCGACAGGUGGAGUUUUGGGGUUAUUUGGGGUAUGAAAGGGGCUUAUCUUCAAUUCAUUAUAUGGCGAGCAGGGUAGUUUGUAAGAGGGGAAAAGCAAGAAAAAUUAACACAUGCUUCCAAACACCUGGAGACGUGACGACUACCAGCCACCCCCGCACACCCACCGAGCUUGGAAACAAUAAUAUGGGGAAUUCACCCCCACCCAGGGAGGAAUUUUAGAGGUUUUUUGUAGCUAAAAACCACCCUGGUGUGGCAGGAACCCAGAGAUGUUGGUUGGGUUAGGGCGCUGGGCCGGUUGCAGGUCAGCAAACGUGGCAGCACCAUCUCGGGCGCUGCACAACGGCCUCGGCAUCCCGGGCACCGCAGCAAAAUGUUUUCCCUAUAAAAUGGCCGAGUUGCCCCCCUUGGCUGCUGGGGGAACAAAAGCAGGGUGGAGGAUGGCCAUCAGGGAUGCAUCCAUCUUGCACUUCACGGUGAUGGUUUCCCCCCCACCACAAAGCACUGGUGGGGAAGGGCAGCGGGAAGGUCCCAGCAGUCCCACGCUUGUCCAAAGCAGGAUGGAGAUGGAAACCCCUCGCCAUUCCCAAGGCCUUUUCCAGGCUUUUCACAGCCGCCGUGGCUGCUCAUGGCUGGGUACGAAGAGGGGGACCAGCCGGCUCCUCCAAACCCAUCCAGACAUGGCGAAACUGGUACCCUCCUUUCGGCAUUUAGCAGCACCCUCAGGCUCAGCAUCCACCUUCUCUUCAGCCCGACGAAGCCUUUCUCCUCCCACCCACCCCGAGAAACACCGAGAGGGAGGGAAAAUAAAUAAAUAAAAAAUUACGCAUGUUAUAUCUUAAGCUCAGCAUCUCCAAAAAAUCACUGGCAGAUAUUCAUAAUGGUCCGGGAGCUAUUAGAGGCGCAAGAAGGAGGGAAGGGAAGGAAAUGAACGCCGGGUGAGAAGAGAAAAUUCAUAGCCCCGCUGAUACGCCAUGAUAAAUAAUUAUGAGUUAUUAAUUUUAAAUUACAUCUUUAAUGCAUUGCAUGAUUUUAAUUCCCACCACAGUAUUAAUAUAGGGACUCUGGG